rnacentral:misc_RNA from 1 species
CAUGAAGAACGUAGUGAAAUGCGAUAAGUAAUGUGAAUUGCAGAAUUCAGUGAAUCAUCGAAUCUUUGAACGCACAUUGCGCCCGCCAGCACUCUGGCGGGCAUGCCUGUUCGAGCGUCAUUUCAACCAUCAAGCCCCCAGGGGCUUGUGCUGGGGCCCUGCGGCUGCCCGCAGGCCCUGAAAACCAGUGGCGGGCUCGCUAGUCACACCGAGCGCAGUAGCACAUCUCGCUCAGGGCGUGCGGCGGGCUCCUGCCGUGAAACCCCCCACUGUAACCCCAAAGGUUGACCUCGGAUCAGGUAGGAAUACCCGCUGAACUUAAGCAUAUCAAUAAGCGGAGGA